GACCUCAAAUCAGGUAGGACUACCCGCUGAACUUAAGCAUAUCAAUAAGCGGAGGAAAAGAAACUAACAAGGAUUCCCCUAGUAACUGCGAGUGAAGCGGGAAAAGCUCAAAUUUAAAAUCUGACAGUCUUUGGCUGUCCGAGUUGUAAUCUAGAGAAGUGUUAUCCGCGCUGGACCGUGUACAAGUCUCCUGGAAUGGAGCGUCAUAGAGGGUGAGAAUCCCGUCUUUGACACGGACUACCAGGGCUUUGUGAUGCGCUCUCAAAGAGUCGAGUUGUUUGGGAAUGCAGCUCAAAAUGGGUGGUAAAUUCCAUCUAAAGCUAAAUAUUGGCGAGAGACCGAUAGCGAACAAGUACCGUGAGGGAAAGAUGAAAAGAACUUUGGAAAGAGAGUUAAACAGUACGUGAAAUUGCUGAAAGGGAAACGCUUGAAGUCAGUCGCGUUGUCCAGGGAUCAACCUUGCUUUUGCUUGGUGCACUUUCUGGUUGACGGGUCAGCAUCAAUUUUGACCAUUGGAAAAAGAUUAAGGGAAUGUGGCAUCUUUGGAUGUGUUAUAGCCCUUGGUUGCAUACGAUGGUUGGGAUUGAGGAACUCAGCACGCCGCAAGGCCGGGUUU
rnacentral:rRNA from 1 species